rnacentral:lncRNA from 1 species
CGGCCAGAGAGGCAGGCAAACAACGAGGAGGCCGGCACUGAUGAUAGUAUAUCGGGGAAUUGCUGUCGUCGGGAGUUUCCUCAAGGUGGUUGAGUUGGAAGUCCGUGGUCAUCAACUUCCUUAUAGCGACCCUGCAAUCAGGACGCCCAACUUCAGAAUCCAUGACUGGACACUCACCACAUAUACCAAAGAGUAUAAGACUUCAGACCACUGCUAAUUCUUGGCAUGACUGGGUUAUUGACUGUACUGUUCGAGCUUCUGACAUUGAGAUCAGCGAAGCUGCGCGGUCUGGACUGAUGAAUUUACGGAAUUC